UGUUGUGAUUAUUUAUAGGGUGCGUGUGUCAUGGUAUGUACAUAUGGUGGUGUAUCGGUGAUAUAAAUCAUACGUUAAAGAGCAGUGAUUCCAAACCUUGGUGGAACCCCUCCCAUGAAUUUUCAUUUUCCAAGGCACCCUUGUUAAUAGUGUUCUAAUGCAAGAUAUGAUCGUCUGUUUUUUUUUAGUUAUUAAGCAAUGUAUACUGAGUUUGGAAUUCAAGAUUGCAUCAAAUGAGCUAAUAUGAUAGACUUGGUGAAAAGUCAUACUGUAAUAGCACAGGAUUAUUUUACGAUUUUUUGGAGAACCCUUGGUGAUGGUCGCCGGAAGCCCCCAGGGUUCUACGAGCUCCUAGUUGGUGAUCUAAGUUAUAGAGUGUUGAUUGUCUGUGUUUUUAUUAUUAAACUGUUUUUUUUGUGGCUGCACUGUGUGGCUGCUUGGUGCUGUGACGGCCAGGAUAACAGUACCUGGGUUUGCACCAAACGAGAGGGAAGGCUCGCUAUGAGGCUCUGCUCAUAGGGGUCGUGCAAGCAACGUCGUGGUUAACUGCAUGGUGUGGUGUAGUCAACUGACUGUGUCAAACGCAUAAGCCGGAGUAGUUAUGCAAAGCGUAAGUGAGAACAUGUGUAUGAUUUCUUUGGAAAUCUAAAAACACGGUUUAUGACGAUGGAUGAGGGCGAUGUAAUAUCAGGAGGUGAUGAUUUGUCUGGUGAUCUCAGCACAGACAAGAUUGCAUCAAAUAGUCAAGACCAUCCAGCAAUCCAGUCACUGUCGUCAGGUCAGGAAAGCAAUGAAUUAUCAGACAAUCAAAACACUAAAUCUGCGCCUGAUGAAAUGCUGUGUUCCUUACACAUCAAGAGCAGUGAUAAGUAUCAAGAUUUUGGUAGAGUCAUUUGCUUCAAAGAUGACAAGUUGGCAAAAUGCAAGGAAAUAUUAAUGCUACGAAAACAAAAAAACUUGAAAUAUGCUGACAUAUCCCUGCCAACUGUAGUAGACAGUAUCCAUGGUUAUCACCACGAGUGCUAUAGGAAAUUUACAGCAUUACCAAAGGCUCACAGAUCUGCAACCAAACCUUCGUGUCACAUGAGCCAAGAAAAUCCUUCAUGUCACAUGAGCCAAGAAAAACAAUCACUAAGCUUGAACGAAUCGGCAGCAACAUCGAAAGAGGGCACAUGUGAUUUCCAGCCGAUGUGCUUGUUUUGUGGAUCGGCUAGAAAAAAAAUUAAAAACGUGGAGCAAAAAUUAGUUUCAGCUGAGACAGCCCAGUUUGCUGCAAACAUUCAAGAAUAUGCUGAAAUGAAAGGGGAUGAAAAAUUGUUAACACAGAUAAGAGACCAGGAUUUUGUUGCAAAAGGAUUGAGGUACCACGCCAACUGUCGCUCACUGUACCAGAGUCAAGCAAGGGCAAUGUCCAAAAAUGGAAAUCAACCAAGGACAGGGUACAUAAGCAGAGAGAAAGAAGUUCAUAGAGAGGCUUUUGACUCAUUGAUAUCUUACAUUGAACAGAAUGUAAUUGAGAAGCGCGAGGUGCAUUUGUUAACUGACCUGAACACCUAUUAUACAGCCACUGUUCAUGAAAUAGGUGGUGAGGACUUUCAACAUGCAACCCCAACAGCACAAAAGCUGGAUGAAAAAUUAACCAAACAUUUUGGUGAGAGGAUCGUGGUUCAAAAGGAAAGACAAAACGUGGAAGUAUUGUCCAUUCGUCUGAGAUGUCAAAAGAAGAAGCACUUGCUUUCAAAUUUGAUAAACUCAUGGAUAUUAAAAUGAAAAUCAGAGAUGCAGCAUUGGUACUUCGUGAAGCCAUCAUGAAAGCCCCACAAAAGCAAAUACCUUCAAGUCCGACCAUGCAAGAUAUAAUUGGUGGGGAAGUUGAUGUCCCGGAGUUAGUCCAAGACUUCUUCAAAUACUUAGUUGGUGGUCCAGACUCAAGAAUAUGGAAACAACCAGGAAAACAGCGGCGAAUCAGGGCUAUUAGUCAGGAUGCAGUAUUUUCUGCAACAUCUGGUAAGAAAAAACCAGGAAAGCAUCUGAUUACAGCUCUGGCUAUGAAGAGCAUGACUGGGUGUAGAAAAGUAAUAGAAGUGCUGAACAGAAUGGGUCAUUGUGCCAGUUACCAUACGGCUGAAGAAAUAGAAACUGAACUAACAUUUUCGGUCAAAAAUAAUGACAACGAAAUGCCGUUUGGUAUGCACUCAGGAAAUGAAUAUGGAACUGGAGUAGCCUGGGACAACUUUGAUCGAUUUGUUGAAACUAUGAGCGGCAAGGACACACUUCAUGAUACAGUUGCCAUAGCGUACCAGCUCGUUGAAGCUAAAGCCUCAGCCCAAAAGCCAGAGUCAGAUAGAAUUCACCAUGAGAAUAUUACUGAAACAAAAACAAAAGCAUCCCUGCCAACAAUUGGAGUCGGCCUAAGCAAGAAAAGGCGGCGUUCCUAUGAAACUGAAAGCUCUGAAAUUCAGCCUUAUCAUAAAAAACCACGCCUAGAAAACGCCGGGUUACUGGCUGCCGAUGAUAUCAGACUUCUGACAAGUGAGGAAAAUGUUGACUUAGGGUCAUGGAAGAAAGAUGUUCUCUGGAUGUUGGAUGUGUGGCAAAAUCCAAAUACACCAAUGUGGGCAGGAUGGAAUGCAGAGAGUUUAUGACUGUAGAAAACAGAUGAAAGUUUGGUAUUUGCCACAAAUAAACCAAUCACCCACAUCAAAUGCUGUCGUUGUUGAAACAAUGAAAAGGUCACAGAAAUUAGCAGAGGAGUCCAACAAGUCUUGCAUGGUUGUCACCUACGACCUAGCCAUAGCAAAAAUAGCUUUGCAAAUACAAGCCCAGGAAAAGCCGGUAUUUGACAAUCUCUUCAUUUCACUUGGGUCAUUCCAUGUGGAGAAAGCAUAUUUUUGUGUCAUUGGGAAGCUGAUCGCUGAAUCUGGUGCCCCGCACAUAUUGAAUGAGUGCGGUGCACUAGCAGUGGGCUCUAUAAACGGAUUUAUCAAAGGAAAGCAUUACAACCGCUGCAAGAGAAUACACGAACUGCUAGCGGUUUCUCUGGAAAUACUCUUUUUUGAAUGGUUUCAAAAAAGCCAAAACAACCCUGACAUAGUACCAGUGCUUCAGAAUGAGCUAAAAUGCAUCAGUGAUUCUCCAGAUAUCAACAGAUACCAACAUUCAAAGGAAGGAAACGACAUAUUGGAAAGAUACAGAGACUUCUAUGAAAAAACACUGGCCGGGGACAAUGGAAAAACUGCACAGUUUUGGUGUAGCUACAUCAGCCUGAUGCACCUGUACCACAGAUACAGCCGCAGUGUCAGAACCGGAGACUUGGAGGGGUACACAAACACAUUGCUGCAAAUGGCAAACUAUUUCUUCGCCUUGAACCAUCACAACUAUGCCCGCUGGACAGUAAAGUAUCACGAUAAUCUACUGAAGCUUAAAGAAACACAUCCAGAAAUCUAUGAAGAAUUCAAAGACGGACUGUUUUCUGUUAAGAGAACCAAGAAGCCAUUCUCUGGAAGUCCAAUUGAUCUGACAUUGGAGCAAACUAUAAACAAGGAUGCUGCCAGCCAGCGGAUUGGAAUUGCCGCAAUGACAAACUCCAUAUCUGCAAGGCAAAGAUGGGCCGAAUCUCAUUUCAUUCGGACAUCCAUUCUGUCACAUGUAUUUCAAGAAGCUGGCAUGCAUAAAAAAGAAGAUGUAACACAUGGGCUGAAGAAGCAUGCAAUUAGGAAGGACAACAAAACAGUCAAGGACAUAAUCUACAUGAUAAAAGAAACAAUGAAUCCAUUCACUGAAGACAUAGACUCCAAACAUCUGUACAAUAUUGGGACUGGAAAAACUGCUCCAGAGGAAGUAGAAAGCUUUCUCCUCAAUGUCAGGGAAGCAGGUGAAGUCCAGAGAAAGAAGUUCAUGAAUGAGUGCCGCCAAGAGCCUGGAAGGUUUCUAGCAAAGAUUACUCGGCAAGAGGUGUCAACAUUUGCAACUGCAGGAACAAAAUCAAAGAAAACAGAUGUAAAAAGAGUGGCAGCAUGUAUGGUCCGUGACUUGUUUGGUAGCAUUCUGUAUGCUUCAGUAGAGAAACGCAUCGACUUAGCAGAAGUGCUAAAAUAUCCUCUGACACCUGUACCAUUAUCACUGUCAUGUGGAUGGUACAAUGCUGAAAACACCAAAAUCGGCUCUGAUGCAAUAUCUUGAGAACAAGGUGAAAUCAAACUCUCCGGAACACAUCGAUGUCACCAUAAUCGAUGCAUCAUUUUACUUCCAUCUAUUGCCAGGUGCAGCCCUUCCCACGAAAUUUGGUGGGAUAUCAUCACACAUUUUACGGAAAAUCAUGGCAUCAGAAGGCGAUGAAAUUCACUUCGUGUCUGAUAAAUGGCUAAGUCCAUCAAUCAAAGACUGUGAAAGAGCUGCAAGGGAUGGAUCUGUUGAUUCAUUCAAAAUAACAGGUGGCAAUCAGAAAAGACCAGCCAAUUGGAUGAGUGCUUUACGCAACGCAGGAUUUAAAGAAUCUUUGGUCAAGUACUUGGUUGCUAGUUGGUCAGAUGAUUGCAAUGUGAAACACUUGGGAACCAAAACCUUGUAUGCAAAUGAUGGCGACACCUGCUACAAAUAUGUGGUGGAAGGGAAUUCGGUCAUGAAAUCAGAAGAAUCAAGAUACAGCAAUGACCACGAAGAAGCAGACGCAAGAAUGUUCUUCCAUGUGCACAAGAUAACUGGACAGAAAAACAUAGUGAUAAGAACGAAUGACACUGACUGCUUAGUUAUUGGUCUUGGAUCUCAGUCAAACUUCUGUAAUCACAAGGUUUGGAUAGAUGCAGGACUACUAUACAUUUCAGCGGCAGACAAACGCUGUUUUUCGCAAAUAUCUCCUAAACGAAUCUUUGGAUCAGUAUGAUAUUUCAGCACACUGCCUUUAACACCCGGACCUAAUUUAUGGCUAAUAUACCAUGUUGCAAUAUGUGUUAUGUUAGGAGCUUACUGAGUGAUAUUAAGCCUAAUCCAGUCAUCAUAUCUAAGGUGUUAAACAGAAUCGGACGAGUGUGGGGUACUCCUCUAGCCCCUCCACCAACGCCCCGAACAACCCAAAGACCACUCCUUCCCUACUCCAAUAUCGCAGUAUCCCCCUCCUGGUUGCCCUCUUCACCCCCCCUACUCACACCAUCCCCCUUCCCCAGCCCGAGGCUAUGACUUAAGUAGUGGAAUGUAUGUAAUCGUAUUUACAAUAAUACACGAUGUACAUAUGUAUAUAGUAAUGACUACGUAUUACGCAUGAUAACCAGAUGUAUAGAUGGAGAAAAAUAUAUGCGGUUUAUAAUUUUGGCAAAAUAUAAAUAUGAAAGAGACAAGUCAACAAAAUAACAUUAUAUUAGCUGGACCAAGUUGACAUUUUAUGAUGAAUAUGUACUACACAGUAUGUAAUAACAGUAAUAACUUUUCCUAGAAGGUCCAGACCACAGGUAAUGCCAGUACAUCGUGUUCACUUGGGUGACCAUAAGGACUGCAAACAUGGACCUUCUACAUACUAUAUGUAUGUAAACAUGCUGUUGUACAGUAAUUAUCAACGUGAAAUACGUCUUGCCUCCAUGGAACUGUACCAUGCUCUUAGUUAAUAAUCAUACUAUCUAUACAUAUACACGUACAUAACAUUCUAAUAUAUAAUACAGUGAUGGGAGAAAUAGGGAGGGACACAAGAGUGAUGAGGGAGGCGAGAAGUUCGGGGGAGAAGAGGAGGGAUAACGAGAGCGAGAAGGGGGAGUAGUUGUGGCUAGGAAUAGUUUGGGAGGGUGCCGGGGGGGGGCACACUUUCCUUCGAAUGCGUCAACAUGACUCGUCGGGUUUGUGUUAUUUUUCACAAGUAAACUCGUCACAUAAGACAUAUAGUAAUGUGGUAGGUUAGCCAUAAAUUAGGUCCGGGUAUUAUAGGUAGUGUGCUGAAAUAUCAUACUGAUCCAAAGAUUCGUUUAGGAGAUAUUUGCGAAAAACAGCGUUUGUCUGCCGCUGAAAUGUAUAGUAGUCUCAAACAAUACACGAAGGUACAUCGACAUGACCAAGCUUGCAGCAAACCUAGGCGAGUCAUUGUGUUCAGCGAUGCCCGCAUACCAUGCAUUCACUGGCUGCGACUACACUGCAGCAUUUUCCCGAAAAGGAAAAGUUCGGCCACUAAAGAUCUUGGAGAAGAACGCCAAUUUCCAGAACUCUUUCACAGCCUUAGGGAAGGAACAAACAAUAUCAGAUGAAACUUUUUCAUCAAUUGAGAAGUACACAGCUGAAAUGUACGGUAAAAGGAAAAGUCAAUUCAUCAAUGAUAUACGAUUGGAAUUAUUCCUAGAACGGUACAAACCUUCUGGUAAAUUGGAUGAAGCGCGCAUCAGCUGUUUGAAAAAAAUGGACGGAAGCACCCUUCCACCGUGUCACAAUGUCCUGAAGCAGAAAAUAAAGAGAGUACACCUCAUAGCUAACAGGUGGAAUUCUGUUGACCUUGCUACUCAGAGUCCUAUCUCGCCAACAGAGUCUGGAUGGACUUUGGGAUAUGGUAGUUACCAGAUUCUUUGGACAGAAGGUGACUUGUACCCCAAGACAAUCGACGUGCUGCAGAAUGACAAGGAUGGCUCCGAUGAUGAAGAUAUUAAUGACUGCACAGAUGACUUGGCAAUGGAAAGUGACACUGAUGCAGAUGAUACUACUGACGAUGAAACUGAAAACAGCGAGUGACUGUAAAGACCAAUGAAUACACGUUAACAUAUUGAGAAACAAUAUACUCUUGAAAAAAUAUAUGUAAAAUGUCUUCCAUACUCUAUGCUAUACUAUAUGCAUCAGGUAUUUCCAACGAAUGCUAGUUUUUAUGUCUGCCUUAGUUAUGCUCCUUCUACCUAUAGUAGAAAUCUGAAACCUCUAGGAACAGGUUUUUUUUGUUGUUAUCCUUAGGAACAAAGAUAUGCAAAUUUGGGGGGUCAGCUCACCCUAACUCACCCCCCUUAAAUCCUUAAAUCAAGCCAGUUUAAAUGUCAGCAUCAGUUUAACUAUUUAUUCUACCUAUGGUAGAAAUCUGAAAGUUGUAGGAACAGGUUUUUUUGUUGUUGUUGUUAUCCUUAGGAACAAAGAGAUGUAAGUUUUUGGGGGUCAGCUGACAUUAACUUACCACCCUUUAAUCAUGUCAGUUUAUAUGUCAAUAUUAGUUAAAUUAUUUUCUCUACCUAUGGUAAAAAUCUGAAUGUUGUACGAACAGUUUUUGUUGUUGUUGUUGUUAUCCUUAGGAACAAAGAUGUAAAUUUUGGGGGUCAGCUGACACUAACUUACCACCCUUUAAUCAUGUCAGUUAAUAUGUCAAUAUUAGUUAAGCUACUUAUUCUACCUAUGGUAGAAAUCUGAAUGUUGUACGAACAAUUUAUUUUGUUUUACCCCUAGGAACUAAAUGGGACACAUUUUGGGGGUCAGCUGACUCCAUCUUACCACCAGAAAAAUAAGUCAGUUUUUACUCCAACAUUACUUUUGUUACUUAAAGUAACUAUAUAAUAAAUAUAAAAACUGUAACUCAUAGUUGUCUUUUUUUACCUCACGGGGUCAAAAUGGGCAAAAUUUGGAGGUCAGCUGACCACAUCUUACCA